AGCGAACGCUGGCGGCAUGCUUAACACAUGCAAGUCGCGCGGGUGGUUUCGGCCAUCAGCGGCGGACGGGUGAGUAUCGCGUAGGAAUGUAUCCCGAGGUGGGGGACAACCCUGGGAAACUGGGGCUAAUACCGCAUGGGGCCUGUGGGUCAAAGCCUUAGGGCGCCUUGGGAGCAGCCUGCGUCCGAUUAGGUAGUUGGUGGGGUAAAGGCCUACCAAGCCUGCGAUCGGUAGCUGGUCUGAGAGGACGAUCAGCCACACUGGGACUGAGACACGGCCCAGCAGCCGAGGGGAGGCAGAGGGGGGGAGUAGGAGACAGUGGGCGCAGGCAGGAUGCAGGAACGCCGGGUGCGGGAUGACGGCCUUAGGGGUGUAAACCGCUUUAAGCGGGGAAGAAGCUGUUUGUGGCGGUACCGGCAGAAGAAGCACCGGCUAACUACGU
rnacentral:rRNA from 1 species